UGGGGAAUUUUGGACAAUGGGCGCAAGCCUGAUCCAGCCAUUCCGCGUGAGUGAAGAAGGCCUUCGGGUUGUAAAGCUCUUUCGCAAGGGAAGAAAACUUAGGCUCUAACAUAGCCUGAGGUUGACGGUACCCUGAUAGGAAGCACCGGCUAACUACGUGCCAGCAGCCGCGGUAAUACGUAGGGUGCGAGCGUUAAUCGGAAUUACUGGGCGUAAAGCGUGCGCAGGCGGUUUUGUAAGUCAGAUGUGAAAUCCCCGAGCUCAACUUGGGAACUGCGUUUGAAACUACAAGACUAGAAUAUGUCAGAGGGGGGUAGAAUUCCACGUGUAGCAGUGAAAUGCGUAGAGAUGUGGAGGAAUACCGAUGGCGAAGGCAGCCCCCUGGGAUAAUAUUGACGCUCAUGCACGAAAGCGUGGGGAGCAAACAG
rnacentral:rRNA from 1 species